UACGGGGGGGGCAAGCGUUGUUCGGAAUUACUGGGCGUAAAGGGCUCGUAGGCGGCCAACUAAGUCAGACGUGAAAUCCCUCGGCUUAACCGGGGAACUGCGUCUAAUACUGGAUGGCUUGAAUCCGGGAGAGGGAUGCGGAAUUCCAGGUGUAGCGGUGAAAUGCGUAGAUAUCUGGAGGAACACCGGUGGCGAAGGCGGCAUCCUGGACCGGCAUUGACGCUGAGGAGCGAAAGCCAGGGGAGCAAACGGG
rnacentral:rRNA from 1 species